UUCCAUGGAAAACUUGGAAAGCACCAGGAAGACAGCACCAAGAAUGUGAUGACCAAAUAGAAGUUCAACAGGGAAAAGAGAUAUUGAUGGAGGCCUCAGGAACUUGUGUCUACAGAGGAACAGCAACACUUAGCACUAAGAGCCAUGCUGUGACCCCAGAGGAGCUCUAGAAAAGAAGAAUAAUUAUCUCACUUCUUCAAGCAGACGUGAGUCCAGCAGAAAGCCAAGACAUUCUACAUCUUCACAAGCCUGCUCUAUCUUGUUGAGAGUCCAUUUAUGAUUUCAACUUUGCCCAUUCAAAACAGCUGUGAUUCUCCCAUCUCCAAUUUAUGGGACUCUUAACGGACAUGUUUUCCCUCCAUGAUAUUAUUUUUUAUUAUGAAAAAUAAAUAAAUACAAUAGUAGGUGGAAUAUCUCAAUUUGUACAGUGGUU
rnacentral:lncRNA from 1 species